rnacentral:rRNA from 1 species
AGAGUUUGAUCAUGGCUCAGAACGUACGCUGGCGGCACGCCUAACACAUGCAAGUCGAACGAAGUAGCAAUACUUAGUGGCAGACGGGUGAGGAACAUGUGGGUAUCUUCCCUUUGGCCUGGAAUAACACGAGGAAACUUGUGCUAAUACCAGAUAAGUCUUUACGGAGAAAGCUUUAUGCACCAUUGGAUGAGCCCGCACUUGAUUAGUUUGUUGGUGGGGUAAUGGCCUACCAAGACUGUGAUCAAUAGCUGAUUUGAGAGGAUGAUCAGCCACAUUGGGACUGAGACACGGCCCAAACUCCUACGGGAGGCAGCAGUGGGGAAUCUUGCACAAUGGAGGAAACUCUGAUGCAGCGAUGCCGCGUGAGUGAAGAAGGCCCUUGGGUUGUAAAGCUCUUUCGUCGGGGAAGAAAAUGACUGUACCCGAAUAAGAAGGUCCGGCUAACUUCGUGCCAGCAGCCGCGGUAAUACGAAGGGACCUAGCGUAGUUCGGAAUUACUGGGCUUAAAGAGUUCGUAGGUGGUUGAAAAAGUUGGUGGUGAAAUCCCAGAGCUUAACUCUGGAACUGCCAUCAAAACUUUUCAGCUAGAGUAUGAUAGAGGAAAGUAGAAUUUCUAGUGUAGAGGUGAAAUUCGUAGAUAUUAGAAAGAAUACCAAUUGCGAAGGCAGCUUUCUGGAUCAUUACUGACACUGAGGAACGAAAGCAUGGGUAGCGAAGAGGAUUAGAUACCCUCGUAGUCCAUGCCGUAAACGAUGUGUGUUAGACGUUGGAAAUUUAUUUUCAGUGUCGCAGUGAAAGCGUUAAGCACCCCGCCUGGGGAGUACGGCCGCAAGGUUAAAACUCAAAGGAAUUGACGGGGGCCCGCACAAGCGGUGGAGCAUGUGGUUUAAUUCGAAGCAACGCGCAGAACCUUACCAGCCCUUGACAUGGGGAGUAUGGUUUCCGGAGACGGCGUCCUUCAGUUCGGCUGGCUCCCACACAGGUGCUGCAUGGCUGUCGUCAGCUCGUGUCGUGAGAUGUUGGGUUAAGUCCCGCAACGAGCGCAACCCUCGCCCUUAGUUGCCAUCGGUUCGGCCGGGCACUCUAAGGAAACUGCCUGUGAUAAGCAGGAGGAAGGCGGGGAUGACGUCAAGUCCUCAUGGCCCUUACGGGCUGGGCUACACACGUGCUACAAUGGCGGUGACAGCGGGAAGCGAAGGGGCGACCUGGAGCAAAUCCCCAAAAGCCGUCUCAGUUCGGAUUGCACUCUGCAACUCGAGUGCAUGAAGCUGGAAUUACUAGUAAUCGUGGAUCAGCGUGCCACGGUGAAUACGUUCCCGGGUCUUGUACACACCGCCCGUCACACCAUGGGAGUUGGUUCUACCUUAAGGCAAGGUUUCAAACCCUUGACCACGGUAUAGUCAGCGACUGGGGUGAAGUCGUAACAAGGUAGCCGUA